CGUGAAAUUGGGUCGGAAUCUGGGAGGACCAUCUCCCAAGGCUAAAUACUAACUAGUGACCGAUAGCGAACAAGUACCGUGAGGGAAAGGUGAAAAGAACCCCGGAAGGGGAGUGAAAUAGUUCUUGAAACCGUGUGCUUACAAGAAGUUCGAGGCCGUUAAUGGCUGAGAGCGUGCUUUUUGUAGAAUGAACCGGAGAGUUACGAUUGCGUGCAAGGUUAAGGUGCAAAGACUGGAGCCGUAGCGAAAGCGAGUCUUAAUAGGGCGAAUCAGUACGUAGUUGUAGACCCGAAACCGAGUGACCUAUCCAUGGUCAGGUUGAAGGUGGGGUAAUACCUACUGG
rnacentral:rRNA from 1 species